rnacentral:rRNA from 1 species
CCUGAGAAACCCAAAAGAUCGAUCGGGGAGAUUCAUCGUCAGCGAUUCCGGUACGUGGGCGGUUCGCGAUGCCGCGGGACCUCGGUCCCGUGACACGCGUCCGCGCAUGUUCAUAUUGCCGGUUGUCGCCGGCGUGCACUUCUCCCCUAGUAGGACGUCGCGACCCGUUGGGUGUCGGUCUACGGCCCGGAUGGUAGACUGUCGUGCGUCGCGCCUCGCGCGUGACAUGUCGAGACAGACGACCGGUCGCCMGUACCGGCUGCCCGGCGGUACUCGCACGGUAUCGAGCCGCAAUUAUUCGAACUGCGUCCGGCCCGCCGCAAGCGAGGUCAGUGUUUCCCGGAUGUGCGGACCUAGCGCCGUCACCGGGCCUGGCCGGCUGUUGGUAGGCGGUGUCCUGGGACUGGCUCAAUCAAAUUUACGAUACCGGUCGGCGACGCUACUGCUUUGGGUACUUUCAGGACCCGUCUUGAAACACGGA